UGCAUUCUGCUGUUGCCAGGAAAUACUGGAAGUUUUACUCGUUGGGUGGACAACUGGAGUUUUCAAAUUACAUUGAAUGAUUUUCUCUGCCUUUCUUAUGUAAGGGGAAACAUUUUUGCUGUACAAAUGUCAGUUCCAAAUUUCAAAAUCUGAAUCCUACAGGAUGGAGUUCGGCUUGUACUCCACUCUGUGUCCUUCAAGAUGACGGCUCGAGGGAUGGCAAGGACAUGCUGUGGAGGAAGGUGUGGCCAGAAGGUGAACAUGUAAUCCAUAAGGCAGGCUCAAGGACGAUUGCGAGGGGAUUUGAUCUUCAACCACGUAGGGGGUUGAAGAAGUCUGUGGAAGGCUGUUGUCUCUGUGUCUGGCCUGAUGGUCAGCCUGUCGCUCUGCAGAGCUGGGGAAAACAGCUGGGCAUGAGAACCCCCGGCUGUCUCCUACCACUUCCAAAUUGAACAAGCAAGGGUGACCUAUGGAAUGAACCAGACUCUUCGCUCCCGAGCUGCAUAUAGGACUUGCAGAUCUGCUGGAAGCUGAACCAACUGCAAGUGGGGCUGCUGCCCCCAGCCAGCAAGAUGAGCCAGCAGCUCUGCUACAGCAGUGCCUGGCACCCACACCGACCUUCAGGAUGUCCUGGCCACUGAUUUACUCCUGCCUUCUGAAUUCCAGGCAAAUUUCCCUUGAGAGGUCAGCCCUAACCCACACCACACAGAGGAGGACGUUCUGGGAAAUUUAGUUCCAGACUAGCUAAGUUGAUUCAGUUGAUUCAGCAAACCCAUCAUAAUAAUUAAGUUUUAGAUACUCUUGGCAUGAACAUAUAAGCAGAAUGUACCACAUAGUGUUUAUUUAGUAAAUUAUUUUUAUUUUUAAAGAUUUUAUUUACUUGACACACAGAGAGAGAGAGAGAGAGAGAGAAAGAGAGAGUGUGAGAGAGUGACAGAGAGCACAAGCAGGGGAUGCAGGAGAGGGAGAUGGAGAAGGAGGCUCCCCGAAGCAGGGAGCCCAACAUCGGCUCCAUCCCAAGACCCUGGAAUCGUGGCCCGAGCUGAAGGCAGAUGCUUAACUGACUGAGCCACCCAGGCGCCCCUUUUAAUAUUUUUAAACCAUUUUAAAAAUUGAGGUCUAAUUGACAUACAGCAUCAUACUAAUUUCAGGUGUUACAACAUAACGGUUUGAUAUUUGUAUGUAUUAUAAAAUGGUCACCACAGGUCUAGCUAACCUUCAUCACCAUACAUAGUUAUAGGACUUUUUUCUGAUGGUGAGAACUUUUAAGAUCUACUCUCUUGGCAACUUUUAAAUAUGCAAUGCAGUAUUAUUAAUCAUAGUCACUGUGCUGUACAUUACAUCCCUAUGACUUAUUUAUUUUAUAACUGGAGUUUUGUAUCUCUUGAACCCCUUCACCAAAUUUGCCCAUCCUCCAUGCCCCCACCUCUUGCAACCACUAAUCUGUUCUAU
rnacentral:lncRNA from 1 species